rnacentral:rRNA from 1 species
AGUGAACGCUGGCGGUAGGCCUAACACAUGCAAGUCGAACGGCAGCACAGUAAGAGCUUGCUCUUACGGGUGGCGAGUGGCGGACGGGUGAGGAAUACAUCGGAAUCUACUUUUUCGUGGGGGAUAACGUAGGGAAACUUACGCUAAUACCGCAUACGACCUACGGGCGAAAGCAGGGGAUCUUCGGACCUUGCGCGAUUGAAUGAGCCGAUGUCGGAUUAGCUAGUUGGCGGGGUAAAGGCCCACCAAGGCGACGAUCCGUAGCUGGUGUGGGAGGAUGAUCAGCCACACUGGAACUGAGACACGGUCCAGACUCCUACGGGAGGCAGCAGUGGGGAAUAUUGGACAAUGGGCGCAAGCCUGAUCCAGCCAUACCGCGUGGGUGAAGAAGGCCUUCGGGUUGUAAAGCCCUUUUGUUGGGAAAGAAAAGCAGCAGGUUAAUACCCCGCUGUUCUGACGGUACCCAAAGAAUAAGCACCGGCUAACUUCGUG